rnacentral:lncRNA from 1 species
GUUAGUCUAUAAUCUUGAACAGUAAUAUCUAAAAUAAUGAAAUUUCCAUUGUUAUCUAUAAUUUCAUUAUUUAUUUUAAAUUCAAAGGAAUUCUUAAACAAGACUGCUACUCCUCUGCUCCUGUUUGAAUAGCUACUAAAUUUACCUGUAUAUCCCCAUUCUUGAAGCCAUUUAUUUUCAUUUUCUAAACAACAGUGAGUAUCAACCAACACUGCAAUAUCAUAACGUUUCUUACAAAUUGAAAAAAUAUCUAAUCUUUUUUACCUUAUUUGCUAAUCCCCUACAGUUUACGGAACCUACAACUAUGGAUGCCAUUGAUAUACAUACACAAAUUUUGUCAAUAAAGUAAUAUCCACAUAUAUUACACUCUUAUAUUUGUUGCUGUCUGUCUCAAGUGAUUUAUAUAACUUACAUGUUUUGCAUACUGUACACCAAGAUUCAUAUCUUGUGCUGUCCUUAAUAAUUUUGGUUGUGUGUGGGUACCCCCUUGAUGAAGCCUUGUAAUCUAAAUGCAUUCUGCCAAUAUGAGUUAUCUGCUCUUUUAAAAUAAGAUCCAAAUUAAAAUACCAAA